GGCGNGCGANGCGCUUACAGCUCAAAUUUGAAAUCUUACUGUGUUUACAGUACGAAUUGUAGUUUAGAGAAACGUUUUCGAGGUCAACCUUUAGUACAAGUUCUUUGGAACAAGACAUCAUAGAGGGUGAAAAUCCCGUCUUUGACUAAGGGUUCGAUUUUAUGUGAUACGUUUUCCAAGAGUCGGUUUGUUUGGGAAUGCAGACCAAAAGGGUGGUAAAUACCAUCUAAAGCUAAAUAUUGGCGAGAGACCGAUAGCGAACAAGUACCGUGAGGGAAAGAUGAAAAGAACUUUGAAAAGAGAGUUAAACAGUACGUGAAAUUGUCAAAAGGGAAACGCUUGAAACCAGUAUUGUGGGCAGAAAUUCAACUGUAGUUUACUACAGUGUAUUUUUCUGUUUACGAGUCAACAUCAGUUUGAUUCGAAGUAAAAAGCAUUAGGAAUGUAACCUAUUUAUAGGUAUUAUAGCCUAAUGUCAUGCUUUGGGUUAGACUGAGGACUGCAGCGUUAUUUGGCCUUCGGGUACACCAACGCUUAGGAUGUUGACGAAAUGGUUUUAAACGACCCGUCUUGAAACACGGACCAAGGAGUCUAACAUAUAUGCGAGUAUUUGGGUGGUAAACCCUUAUGCGUAGUGAAAGCGAAAAGGUGGGAUUCUUUACUGAUGCACCAUCGGCCGCGCCAGGUUAUUACUACCUCGGCGUGAGUAUGAGCAUACAUGUUGGGACCCGAAAGAUGGUGAACUAUGCCUGAAUAGGGUGAAGCCAGAGGAAA
rnacentral:rRNA from 1 species